rnacentral:rRNA from 1 species
GACGAACCGAGCGAACGUUGUUCGGAAUCACUGGGCUUAAAGGGCGCGUAGGCGGACUAUCAAGUCUGGGGUGAAAUCCCGCGGCUCAACCGUGGAACUGCCUCAGAUACUGACGGUCUCGAGGGAGGUAGGGGCAUGCGGAACUGUAGGUGGAGCGGUGAAAUGCGUUGAUAUCUACAGGAACUCCGGUGGCGAAAGCGGCGUGCUGGACCUCUUCUGACGCUGAUGCGCGAAAGCCAGGGGAGCAAACAGG